GUUUUCUCUCAACACCAUGUAUGAUCUUAACAGUCCACCCUCUGAUGUUGAUAUUGGCGUUGAACCAUCUUUAACGUUUCUGCAAACAUCAAUGUUCAUCACAAUUAUGGGGUUGAUUUGAACAUUAAUGUUCAUGGUGUUAAUGAGGAGUCUUUGCAUAUGUCUAUUUCCUCUGAGUUUAGUUCCCUAUGCCUGUUUCGUCCCAGAGAUCCCAGCUUUGGUGGCUUCAUUCUUGGCGCAAGAUCAUCAUAGGUUGCAAAGUUAUAAUGGUAACUGGGUAUGUCUUUGUCAAGUAAAGGUGUAAAAGUAGCCUUUUCCUAAUUUUCAGUGAUGCGACAUGUGGUACCGAUGGCAUGUAUUGGCGUUGUGGAGAUAAGACAUACUUGUCAACCGUGUAACAAUGUUGUACAUUGAUAAUU
rnacentral:lncRNA from 1 species